GUGGAUGUGGCCUAGUGGUCAAGGCGCUGCGUUGUGGAAACAUGCAUACCGCAGAGAUCGGGAGUUCGAGCCUCCUCAUCCACA